UACGUAGGGAGCAAGCGUUGUCCGGAAUCAUUGGGCGUAAAGCGCGCGUAGGUGGCCCCAUAAGUCCGCUGUGAAAGUCAAAGGCUCAACCUUUGAAAGCCGGUGGAUACUGUGGGACUAGAGUACGGAAGGGGCGAGUGGAAUUCCUGGUGUAGCGGUGAAAUGCGCAGAUAUCAGGAGGAACACCAAUGGCGAAGGCAGCUCGCUGGAACGGUACUGACGCUGAGGCGCGAAAGCGUGGGGAGCGAACAGG
rnacentral:rRNA from 1 species